rnacentral:rRNA from 1 species
AUUAGAUACCCUGGGUAGUCCACGCUGUAAACGAUCGAUACUAGGUGUGCGGGGACUGACCCCCUGCGUGCCGGAGUUAACACAAUAAGUAUCGCACCUGGGGAGUACGAUCGCAAGGUUGAAACUCAAAGGAAUUGACGGGGGCCCGCACAAGCGGUGGAUUAUGUGGUUUAAUUCGAUGCAACGCGAAGAACCUUACCAGGGCUUGACAUCCUGCUAACGAGGUAGAGAUACGUCAGGUGCCCUUCGGGGAAAGCAGAGACAGGUGGUGCAUGGUUGUCGUCAGCUCGUGUCGUGAGAUGUUGGGUUAAGUCCCGCAACGAGCGCAACCCUUAUUGUUAGUUGCUACGCAAGAGCACUCUAGCGAGACUGCCGUUGACAAAACGGAGGAAGGUGGGGACGACGUCAAAUCAUCAUGCCCCUUAUGUCCUGGGCUACACACGUAAUACAAUGGCGGUCAACAGAGGGAUGCAAAACCGCGAGGUGGAGCGAACCCCUAAAAGCCGUCCCAGUUCGGAUCGCAGGCUGCAACCCGCCUGCGUGAAGUCGGAAUCGCUAGUAAUCGCGGAUCAGCAUGCCGCGGUGAAUACGUUCCCGGGCCUUGUACACACCGCCCGUCACACCAUGAGAGUCGGGAACACCCGAAGUCCGUAGCCUAACCGCAAGGAGGGCGCGGCCGAAGGUGGGUUCGAUAAUUGGGGUGAAGUCGUAACAAGGUACC